CAUGCAAGUCGAACGAUGAUGGGAGCUUGCUCCUGGAUUAGUGGCGAACGGGUGAGUAACACGUGAGUAACCUGCCCUUAACUCUGGGAUAAGCCUGGGAAACUGGGUCUAAUACCGGAUAUGACUCCUCAUCGCAUGGUGGGGGGUGGAAAGCUUUAUUGUGGUUUUGGAUGGACUCGCGGCCUAUCAGCUUGUUGGUGAGGUAAUGGCUUACCAAGGCGACAACGGGUAGCCGGCCUGAAAGGGUGACCGGCCACACUGGGACUGAAACACGGCCCAAACUCCUACGGGAGGCAGCAGUGGGGAAUAUUGCACAAUGGGCGCAAGCCUGAUGCAGCGACGCCGCGUGAGGGAUGACGGCCUUCGGGUUGUAAACCUCUUUCAGUAGGGAAAAAGCGAAAGUGACGGUACCUGCAAAAAAAGCGCCGGCUAACUACGUGCCACCAGCCGCGGUAAUACGUAGGGCGCAAGCGUUAUCCGGAAUUAUUGGGCGUAAAGAGCUCGUAGGCGGUUUGUCGCGUCUGCCGUGAAAGUCCGGGGCUCAACUCCGGAUCUGCGGUGGGUACGGGCAGACUAAAGUGAUGUAGGGGAGACUGGAAUUCCUGGUGUAGCGGUGAAAUGCGCAAAUAUCAGGAGGAACACCGAUGGCGAAGGCAGGUCUCUGGGCAUUAACUGACGCUGAGGAGC
rnacentral:rRNA from 2 species